rnacentral:misc_RNA from 1 species
CGCCUGUUGCUAAACUUUCAUCAGAUUAACUUUUGCCGUAAAACCUAAACCACAAAAUCUGCUCGUUUCAUGGUUUAGUAAAAGACAAAUAUAAAUACACGUUAUUCGCGAGUAGUUUUAUUGCAGACUUAGACUUGCCAUUCUAAUCUUUUCUAUUUAUUAAUUUAGAUAAAAAGUUGCAGUACUUUCUAUUUAGGGGGAAAUGAAAAAAACUAUGUGAUCUGAAUAUUCGCACAAUUGUAUAAAGAAACUAAUAUUAAAUUUGAUUCAAAUUGUUUUUCACAACGGAUACCCAGGAAGACUGGAACGGAACUUGACGUAUCGUCUAUCAAGAAUUAAGAGCGAUUCGUUUCCAAUAUACGGUCCAGGAGAUUCCAUUUUAUGGUUUCUCGAUUAUUCCAUUUUCUAUUAUCCCAGACUUUCAUUAUCCGAUUUAUUAAGGGUAUACGUACUAUAUGAUGCAUUUUCAGAUUGCACAUUAAAUGU